AACGAACGCUGGCGGCAUGCCUAACACAUGCAAGUCGAACGAGACCUUCGGGUCUAGUGGCGCACGGGUGCGUAACGCGUGGGAACCUGCCCUUAGGUUCGGAAUAACUCCCCGCAAGGGGUGCUAAUACCGGAUAAUGUCUUCGGACCAAAGAUUUAUCGCCUUUGGAUGGGCCCGCGUUGGAUUAGCUAGUUGGUAGGGUAAACGCCUACCAAGGCGACGAUCCAUAGCUGGUCUGAGAGGAUGAUCAGCAACACUGGGACUGAGACACGGCCCAGACUCCUACGGGAGGAAGCAGUGGGGAAUAUUGGACAAUGGGCGAAAGCCUGAUCCAGCAAUGCCGCGUGAGUGAUGAAGGCCUUAGGGUUGUAAAGCUCUUUUACCCGGGAUGAUAAUGACAGUACCGGGAGAAUAAGCUCCGGCUAACUCCGUG
rnacentral:rRNA from 1 species